rnacentral:SRP_RNA from 1 species
GAGCUGGGUCUUUGCGACAAACGACUCCCAAUCCCGUCAGGUCCGAAAGGAAGCAGCGGCACGGAGCCCUCUUUGGGUGCCAAGGACCCAGCUCUGU